GAUACCAGUCUUAAAAGGUCAAAAGCCGUUCAUGCUUGCAUGAUAAGGCGUUUGAACUUGAGACACGCCAAAUAUGAGAAAGUGGCGAUUUACGCAGUAAAUCAGCGGAUUCCGAAUAUUUGGAGGAUUGUGGGAGCAUCAUAGCUGCAGAGCGAUCCGGGGUAUC
rnacentral:sRNA from 1 species